CAGUAGUUUUUUAAUUGAAAACUUGUAUGAAUGGUUCAACGAAAUAUUUUCUGUUUCAUAAAAAUUUAUAUAGAAAUUAAUUUUUUAGUUAAAAAGCUAAAAUAUAAUUAAAAGACGAGAAGACCCUAUAGAGUUUUAUAUAAUUUAAUUUUUAAUUUAUUUAUAAUAAUUAAAAUUUAAUUUUAAUUUAUAUUUUGUUGGGGUGACAGUAAAAUUUUAUAAUCUUUUAUUAUUUUAUAACAAUGAUUUUUGAUUAAUUGAUCCAUUAUUAGUGAUUAUAAGAUUAAAUUACCUUAGGGAUAACAGCGUAAUUUUUGAAG
rnacentral:rRNA from 1 species